rnacentral:rRNA from 1 species
GACGUAGGGCGCGAGCGUUGUCCGGAUUUAUUGGGCGUAAAGAGCUCGUAGGCGGUCUGUCGCGUCUGCUGUGAAAACUCGGGGCUUAACUCUGAGCUUGCAGUGGGUACGGGCUGACUAGAGUGCGGUAGGGGAGACUGGAAUUCCUGGUGUAGCGGUGAAAUGCGCAGAUAUCAGGAGGAACACCGGUGGCGAAGGCGGGUCUCUGGGCCGUAACUGACGCUGAGGAGCGAAAGCAUGGGGAGCGAACAGG